AGAGUUUGAUCAUGGCUCAGGACGAACGCUGGCGGCGUGCCUAAUACAUGCAAGUCGAGCGGACCGACGGGAGCUUGCUCCCUUAGGUCAGCGGCGGACGGGUGAGUAACACGUGGGUAACCUGCCUGUAAGACUGGGAUAACUCCGGGAAACCGGGGCUAAUACCGGAUGCUUGAUUGAGCCGCAUGGUUCAAUUAUAAAAGGUGGCUUUCAGCUACCACUUACAGAUGGACCCGCGGCGCAUUAGCUAGUUGGUGAGGUAACGGCUCACCAAGGCGACGAUGCGUAGCCGACCCUGAGAGGGUGAUCGGCCACAACUGGGACUGAGACACGGCCCAGACUCCUACGGGAGGCAGCAGUAGGGAAUCUUCCGCAAUGGACGAAAGUCUGACGGAGCAACGCCGCGUGAGUGAUGAAGGUUUUCGGAUCGUAAAACUCUGUUGUUAGGGAAGAACAAGUACCGUUCGAAUAGGGCGGUACCUUGACGGUACCUAACCAGAAAGCCACGGCUAACUACGUGCCAGCAGCCGCGGUAAUACGUAGGUGGCAAGCGUUGUCCGGAAUUAUUGGGCGUAAAGCGCGCGCAGGCGGUUUCUUAAGUCUGAUGUGAAAGCCCCCGGCUCAACCGGGGAGGGUCAUUGGAAACUGGGGAACUUGAGUGCAGAAGAGGAGAGUGGAAUUCCACGUGUAGCGGUGAAAUGCGUAGAGAUGUGGAGGAACACCAGUGGCGAAGGCGACUCUCUGGUCUGUAACUGACGCUGAGGCGCGAAAGCGUGGGGAGCGAACAGGAUUAGAUACCCUGGUAGUCCACGCCGUAAACGAUGAGUGCUAAGUGUUAGAGGGUUUCCGCCCUUUAGUGCUGCAGCAAACGCAUUAAGCACUCCGCCUGGGGAGUACGGUCGCAAGACUGAAACUCAAAGGAAUUGACGGGGGCCCGCACAAG
rnacentral:rRNA from 1 species